rnacentral:rRNA from 1 species
AUUGAACGCUGGCGGCAGGCCUAACACAUGCAAGUCGAGCGGAUGAAGGGAGCUUGCUCCUGGAUUCAGCGGCGGACGGGUGAGUAAUGCCUAGGAAUCUGCCUGGUAGUGGGGGAUAACGUCCGGAAACGGGCGCUAAUACCGCAUACGUCCUGAGGGAGAAAGUGGGGGAUCUUCGGACCUCACGCUAUCAGAUGAGCCUAGGUCGGAUUAGCUAGUUGGUGGGGUAAAGGCCUACCAAGGCGACGAUCCGUAACUGGUCUGAAAGGAUGAUCAGUCACACUGGAACUGAGGCACGGUCCAGACUCCUACGGGAGGCAGCAGUGGGGAAUAUUGGACAAUGGGCGAAAGCCUGAUCCAGCCAUGCCGCGUGUGUGAAGAAGGUCUUCGGAUUGUAAAGCACUUUAAGUUGGGAGGAAGGGCAGUAAGUUAAUACCUUGCUGUUUUGACGUUACCAACAGAAUAAGCACCGGCUAACUUCGUG